AGACGUCUACAUUAGAUACCCCCGUAGUCCCAGCCGUAAACUAUGCGCGUUAGGUGUAUCGGUGACCACGAGUUACCGAGGUGCCGAAGGGAAACCGUGAAACGUGCCGCCUGGGAAGUACGGUCGCAAGGCUGAAACUUAAAGGGAAUUGGCGGGGAGCACCACAACGGGUGGAGCCUGCGGUUUAAUUGGACUCAACGCCGGGAAGCUCACCGGAUAAGACAGCGGAAUGAUUGCCGGGCUGAAGACUCUGCAUGACUAGCUG
rnacentral:rRNA from 1 species